rnacentral:rRNA from 1 species
AGUGAACGCUGGCGGUAGGCCUAACACAUGCAAGUCGAACGGCAGCACAGUAAGGGCUUGCUCUUACGGGUGGCGAGUGGCGGACGGGUGAGGAAUACAUCGGAAUCUACUUUUUCGUGGGGGAUAACGUAGGGAAACUUACGCUAAUACCGCAUACGACCUACGGGUGAAAGCAGGGGAUCUUCGGACCUUGCGCGAUUGAAUGAGCCGAUGUCGGAUUAGCUAGUUGGCGGGGUAAAGGCCCACCAAGGCGACGAUCCGUAGCUGGUCUGAGAGGAUGAUCAGCCACACUGGAACUGAGACACGGUCCAGACUCCUACGGGAGGCAGCAGUGGGGAAUAUUGGACAAAGGGCGCAAGCCUGAUUCAGCCAUACCGCGUGGGUGAAGAAGGCCUUCGGGUUGUAAAGCCCUUUUGUUGGGAAAGAAAAGCAGCAGGUUAAUACCCCGCUGUUCUGACGGUACCCAAAGAAUAAGCACCGGCUAACUUCGUG